GAGUUUGAUCGUGGCUCAGAUUGAACGCUGGCGGCAUGCUUUACACAUGCAAGUCGAGCGGCAGCGCGGGGGCAACCCUGGCGGCGAGCGGCGAACGGGUGAGUAAUGGAUAGGGAACGUGUCCGGGAGUAGGGGGAUAACUAGCCGAAAGGUUAGCUAAUACCGCAUAUUCUGUACGCAGGAAAGCGGGGGAUCGCAAGACCUCGCGCUCGCGGAGUGGCCUAUCUCCGAUUAGCUAGUUGGUGAGGUAAAGGCUUACCAAGGCGACGAUCGGUAGCUGGUCUGAGAGGAUGAUCAGCCACACUGGGACUGAGACACGGCCCAGACUCCUACGGGAGGCAGCAGUGGGGAAUUUUGGACAAUAGGGGGCAACCCUGAUCCAGCCAUGCCGCGUGCGGG
rnacentral:rRNA from 1 species